GAUGAACGCUGGCGGCGUGCCUAAUACAUGCAAGUCGAGCGAACAGACGAGGAGCUUGCUCCUCUGACGUUAGCGGCGGACGGGUGAGUAACACGUGGAUAACCUACCUAUAAGACUGGGAUAACUUCGGGAAACCGGAGCUAAUACCGGAUAAUAUAUUGAACCGCAUGGUUCAAUAGUGAAAGACGGUUUUGCUGUCACUUAUAGAUGGAUCCGCGCCGCAUUAGCUAGUUGGUAAGGUAACGGCUUACCAAGGCAACGAUGCGUAGCCGACCUGAGAGGGUGAUCAGCCACACUGGAACUGAGACACGGUCCAGACUCCUACGGGAGGCAGCAGUAGGGAAUCUUCCGCAAUGGGCGAAAGCCUGACGGAGCAACGCCGCGUGGGUGAUGAAGGUCUUCGGAUCGUAAAACUCUGUUAUUAGGGAAGAACAAAUGUGUAAGUAACUAUGCACGUCUUGACGGUACCUAAUCAGAAAGCCACGGCUAACUACGUG
rnacentral:rRNA from 1 species